UACGUAGGGGGCAAGCGUUGUCCGGAUUUACUGGGCGUAAAGAGCGUGUAGGCGGCCAAGCAGGUCCGUUGUGAAAACUGGAGGCUUAACCUCCAGACGUCGACGGAAACCGCGUGGCUAGAGUCCGGAAGAGGAGAGUGGAAUUCCUGGUGUAGCGGUGAAAUGCGCAGAUAUCAGGAAGAACACCAAUGGCGAAGGCAGCUCUCUGGGACGGUACUG
rnacentral:rRNA from 1 species